GACGAACGCUGGCGGCGUGCUUAACACAUGCAAGUCGAACGGAAAGGCCCUGCUUUUGUGGGGUGCUCGAGUGGCGAACGGGUGAGUAACACGUGAGUAACCUGCCCUUGACUUUGGGAUAACUUCAGGAAACUGGGGCUAAUACCGGAUAGGAGCUCCUGCUGCAUGGUGGGGGUUGGAAAGUUUCGGCGGUUGGGGAUGGACUCGCGGCUUAUCAGCUUGUUGGUGGGGUAGUGGCUUACCAAGGCUUUGACGGGUAGCCGGCCUGAGAGGGUGACCGGCCACAUUGGGACUGCGAGACGGACCAGACUCCUACGGGAGGCAGCAGUGGGGAAUAUUGCACAAUGGGCGGAAGCCUGAUGCAGCAACGCCGCGGGCGGGAUGACGGCCUUCGGGUUGUAAACCGCUUUCGCCUGUGACGAAGCGUGAGUGACGGUAAUGGGUAAAGAAGCACCGGCUAACUACGUG
rnacentral:rRNA from 1 species